rnacentral:rRNA from 1 species
UACGGAGGGAGCUAGCGUUGUUCGGAAUUACUGGGCGUAAAGCGCACGUAGGCGGCUACUCACGUCGGGGGUGAAAGCCCGGGGCUCAACCCCGGAACUGCCCUCGAAACUAGGUGGCUAGAAUCUUGGAGAGGUCAGUGGAAUUCCGAGUGUAGAGGUGAAAUUCGUAGAUAUUCGGAAGAACACCAGUGGCGAAGGCGACUGACUGGACAAGUAUUGACGCUGAGGUGCGAAAGCGUGGGGAGCAAACAGG